CUUUCCAAAUUAUUAUGAAGUCUGAAAUAUUUGUGUUUUUUUUUCUUAUACAGAGACAGCCAAAUCUCCUGAUUAAUUAGAAGUUAAUUUCUUACUGCAAAGUUAUCCUGUCUAUGUAAGUCAAGCCUGAAGGAGACUUUAAAGAAACCAAUGAACAUUUAGAGAAUUGUGUGUGUUCCCUGCAAUAAGUGGAGGGACCCUGGUUUUUGUCAAAGGGAUGCUGCAACGGUGAGAUGGAGAGUUCUACUUCCAGUUAUUAAUUACCCAGCAUGUUCGGCAGAAUCAGUCAAGUUUGCGUAGAAUGGUCUGCAUAAAGCAGACAAGAUCCAUCUUUCAUUCCCUUGGAACCCUGGGAUUUACAGGAUCACAGAUGCUGAAACACACAUUCUGAGGCAAUGGCUGCCAGACUCAGCACUUGAAGGUGAGGAGUAGACUAAGGAGGUGUGCCUGGGUGGC
ensembl:lncRNA